rnacentral:rRNA from 1 species
UCCUGGCUCAGGACGAACGCUGGCGGCGUGCCUAAUACAUGCAAGUCGAGCGGACCGAAGGAGCUUGCUCCUUUAGGUUAGCGGCGGACGGGUGAGUAACACGUGGGCAACCUGCCCUGCAGACUGGGAUAACUUCGGGAAACCGGAGCUAAUACCGGAUAACACCGAAAACCGCAUGGUUUUCGGUUGAAAGGCGGCUUUUAGCUGUCACUGCAGGAUGGGCCCGCGGCGCAUUAGCUAGUUGGUGAGGUAACGGCUCACCAAGGCGACGAUGCGUAGCCGACCUGAGAGGGUGACCGGCCACACUGGGACUGAGACACGGCCCAGACUCCUACGGGAGGCAGCAGUAGGGAAUCUUCCGCAAUGGACGAAAGUCUGACGGAGCAACGCCGCGUGAGCGAAGAAGGUCUUCGGAUCGUAAAGCUCUGUUGUCAGGGAAGAACAAGUACCGUUCGAACAGGGCGGUACCUUGACGGUACCUGACGAGGAAGCCACGGCUAACUACGUGCCAGCAGCCGCGGUAAUACGUAGGUGGCAAGCGUUGUCCGGAAUUAUUGGGCGUAAAGCGCGCGCAGGCGGUUCCUUAAGUCUGAUGUGAAAUCUCGCGGCUCAACCGCGAGCGGCCAUUGGAAACUGGGGAACUUGAGUGCAGGAGAGGGGAGCGGAAUUCCACGUGUAGCGGUGAAAUGCGUAGAGAUGUGGAGGAACACCAGUGGCGAAGGCGGCUCUCUGGCCUGUAACUGACGCUGAGGCGCGAAAGCGUGGGGAGCGAACAGGAUUAGAUACCCUGGUAGUCCACGCCGUAAACGAUGAGUGCUAAGUGUUAGAGGGUAUCCACCCUUUAGUGCUGCAGCAAACGCAUU